rnacentral:sRNA from 24 species
UAAGGAUAGUUGUAUUUUUUAUUAUUUUGAAAUCAAUUGAGUACAUUUAGAGUGAGAACGAUUGUAUGAAUAGGGUAUACCCAAAAUAUACACGAAAGCAUCGUUGUAAAUACAUGAUUUUAGGUGUAUAUUAAAUGGUUUUGAAAAGAGGUGCUUUUUAGUCAUGAAAGUAGCAUAUGCUCGAGUAAGUUCUACAGAUCAAAAUUU